UUGAACGCUGGCGGCAGGCCUAACACAUGCAAGUCGAGCGGUAGCACAGAGAGCUUGCUCUCGGGUGACGAGCGGCGGACGGGUGAGUAAUGUCUGGGAAACUGCCUGAUGGAGGGGGAUAACUACUGGAAACGGUAGCUAAUACCGCAUAAUGUCGCAAGACCAAAGUGGGGGACCUUCGGGCCUCAUGCCAUCAGAUGUGCCCAGAUGGGAUUAGCUAGUAGGUGGGGUAAUGGCUCACCUAGGCGACGAUCCCUAGCUGGUCUGAGAGGAUGACCAGCCACACUGGAACUGAGACACGGUCCAGACUCCUACGGGAGGCAGCAGUGGGGAAUAUUGCACAAUGGGCGCAAGCCUGAUGCAGCCAUGCCGCGUGUGUGAAGAAGGCCUUCGGGUUGUAAAGCACUUUCAGCGGGGAGGAAGGCGAUAAGGUUAAUAACCUUGGCGAUUGACGUUACCCGCAGAAGAAGCACCGGCUAACUCCGUGCCAGCAGCCGCGGUAAUACGGAGGGUGCAAGCGUUAAUCGGAAUUACUGGGCGUAAAGCGCACGCAGGCGGUCUGUCAAGUCGGAUGUGAAAUCCCCGGGCUCAACCUGGGAACUGCAUUCGAAACUGGCAGGCUAGAGUCUUGUAGAGGGGGGUAGAAUUCCAGGUGUAGCGGUGAAAUGCGUAGAGAUCUGGAGGAAUACCGGUGGCGAAGGCGGCCCCCUGGACAAAGACUGACGCUCAGGUGCGAAAGCGUGGGGAGCAAACAGGAUUAGAUACCCUGGUAGUCCACGCCGUAAACGAUGUCGAUUUGGAGGUUGUGCCCUUGAGGCGUGGCUUCCGGAGCUAACGCGUUAAAUCGACCGCCUGGGGAGUACGGCCGCAAGGUUAAAACUCAAAUGAAUUGACGGGGGCCCGCACAAGCGGUGGAGCAUGUGGUUUAAUUCGAUGCAACGCGAAGAACCUUACCUGGUCUUGACAUCCACAGAACUUAGCAGAGAUGCUUUGGUGCCUUCGGGAACUGUGAGACAGGUGCUGCAUGGCUGUCGUCAGCUCGUGUUGUGAAAUGUUGGGUUAAGUCCCGCAACGAGCGCAACCCUUAUCCUUUGUUGCCAGCGGUUCGGCCGGGAACUCAAAGGAGACUGCCAGUGAUAAACUGGAGGAAGGUGGGGAUGACGUCAAGUCAUCAUGGCCCUUACGACCAGGGCUACACACGUGCUACAAUGGCAUAUACAAAGAGAAGCGACCUCGCGAGAGCAAGCGGACCUCAUAAAGUAUGUCGUAGUCCGGAUUGGAGUCUGCAACUCGACUCCAUGAAGUCGGAAUCGCUAGUAAUCGUAGAUCAGAAUGCUACGGUGAAUACGUUCCCGGGCCUUGUACACACCGCCCGUCACACCAUGGGAGUGGGUUGCAAAAGAAGUAGGUAGCUUAACCUUCGGGAGGGCGCUUACCACUUUGUGAUUCAUGACUGGGGUG
rnacentral:rRNA from 1 species